AACGAACGCUGGCGGCAUGCCUAACACAUGCAAGUCGAACGAGACCUUCGGGUCGAGUGGCGCACGGGUGCGUAACGCGUGGGAACCUGCCCUUAGGUUCGGAAUAACUCCCCGAAAGGGGUGCUAAUAUCGGAUAAUGUCUUCGGACCAAAGAUUUAUCGCCUUUGGAUGGGCCCGCGUUGGAUUAGCUAGUUGGUAGGGUAAAAGCCUACCAAGGCGUCGAUCCAUAGCUGGUCUGAGAGGGUGAUCAGCCACACUGGGACUGAGACACGGCCCCGACUCCUACGGGAGGCAGCAGUGGGGGAUAUUGGACAGUGGGCGAGAGCCUGAUCCGGCGAUGCCGCGUGAGUGAUGAAGGCCUUAGAGUUGUAAAGCUCUUUUACCCGGGAUGAUAAUGACGGUACCGGGAGAAUAAGCACCGGCUAACUCCGUG
rnacentral:rRNA from 1 species